rnacentral:rRNA from 1 species
UCAAACGGCCAUAGGAGCGGGGUAACACCCGAACCCUUUCCGAACUCGGAAGUUAAGACCGCUCACGACGCGAAAUACUGCACUUCGUGCGGGAAAGCGCGUUGCUGUUUGGC